UACGUAGGGUGCAAGCGUUAAUCGGAAUUACUGGGCGUAAAGCGUGCGCAGGCGGCUUUGCAAGACAGAUGUGAAAUCCCCGGGCCCAACCUGGGAACUGCAUUUGUGACUGCAAGGCUAGAGUACGGUAGAGGGGGAUGGAAUUCCGCGUGUAGCAGUGAAAUGCGUAGAUAUGCGGAGGAACACCGAUGGCGAAGGCAAUCCCCUGGACCUGUACUGACGCUCAUGCACGAAAGCGUGGGGAGCAAACAGG
rnacentral:rRNA from 1 species